rnacentral:rRNA from 1 species
CUACGGGAGGCAGCAGUGAGGAAUAUUGCACAAUGGGGAGAACCCUGAUGCAGCAACGCCGCGUGGAGGAUGACGCAUUUCGGUGUGUAAACUCCUUUUAUAUGUCAAGAAAAUGACGGUAGCAUAUGAAUAAGCACCGGCUAACUCCGUGCCAGCAGCCGCGGUAAUACAGAGGGUGCAAGCGUUACUCGGAAUCACUGGGCGUAAAGGACGCGUAGGCGGGUUGGAAAGUCAGGUGUGAAAUCCUACAGCUUAACUGUAGAACUGCACUUGAAACUUCUAAUCUAGAGUAUGGGAGGGGGGGAUGGAAUUAGUGGUGUAGGGGUAAAAUCCGUAGAUAUCACUAGGAAUACCUAAAGCGAAGGCGAUCUCCUGGAACAUUACUGACGCUAAGGCGUGAAAGCGUGGGGAGCAAACAGGAUUAGAUACCCUGGUAGUC